rnacentral:rRNA from 1 species
UGCCAGCCGCCGCGGUAAUACGAAGGGGGCUAGCGUUGUUCGGAAUCAUUGGGCGUAAAGCGUAUGUAGGCGGAUCAAAAAGUUAGAUGUGAAAUCCCUGGGCUCAACCCAGGAACUGCGUUUAAAACUAGUGAUCUAGAAUUUGGUAGGGGUUAGUAGAAUUUCCAGUGUAGAGGUGAAAUUCGUAGAUAUUGGAAAGAAUACCAGAAGCGAGGGCGACUAACUAGGCCAUUUUUGACGCUGAGAUACGAAAGCGUGGGUAGCAAACAGGGUUGGAUA